GUCUCUGUGGCGCAAUCGGUUAAGCGUUCGGCUGUUAACCGAAAGGUUGGUGGUUCGAGCCCACCCAGGGACG
rnacentral:tRNA from 1 species